AGUAGUACAUUUCUGACCAUUGCUUAACUGUAUAAGGCAUAGGUAAGCUGUAGGAAAACUGAGGCAUCAUUGCCGGCUGCCUUUGUAUCUGCAGCCUGCAAGGGGUUAAAUAAAAUUCACUGUUCCUGAUUCAUGUAUUAUUUUCCUUAAAAAAUACUUACCCAGCUCCCCGUAUAUGAAAAGGACUCACACCCACAUUGAAUGUUCCUAGCUCUGUCCCUGUCAUCAGAAAUGAUAUUGAAUGGCUCAGUACUAGGGGAUCUGGAACUAUUUCUACAGCUUUCUCACCUCAUUUGGAAUUUUCUUGUCUUGCUAAUUUUAAUUCUUUAGUUGAGUCAUCAAUUCAAAUUUGGUAGGGACUGGCAUCACCCAGUUGGUCGACUUGGGAGAAAUAUCGUUCAUGAAGAUGAUCAGACUGCACCAAAUUCCACCCCCACCCCUCACAUAUACAGAGAUCCGAGCGGCUGUGGUGUGAGUGCACGUGUGUGUUUGUGUGUGUGUGUGUGUGUGUGUGUGUGUGUUAUGCAAAAGGGUCUCUCUGCUGCUUUCUCUUUUGUCACUGAGUCUCCAAAUUGUGUAACUGAAACUGCAAGGAAGACCGUUUUCCUGAAGAUGCUGAGAGCUCUGUUUUGAAGACACACACAUAUCCGAACAAUUAGAGACUGAAGAGUGAGGACGCCUGUUUGGGGACCGGUUUGGUAUUGUACCCAGACCACACAUUCCGGCUGGGAAGGAACACAGUAAUGUAUAAAGCAUUAGUGGAUUUAACGCUCUGCAUUGUGCUUGGGGAAUCGAAUUGUUGAUGUUUCUGGCAAGAACUCAUACUCCAAUUGAAAUCUAUCAAACACCUUAAUUAGCUCCGGGUACCUAAAUGCACCCAACCAAGAGGCAAGUUGGAAAGCAGCAGAAGGAAAGGGCAGGAGCUGGCACAGAGGUGUCAUGGGCCUCCCUGGGUACCUUCAGCACCCUGUGGCCUCACUUUCCAGACCGGAAUACAUGGGCCAUGGUGGAAAGUCAGACAACUUGCAGCUCUCACUGCAGCAGCCACAGGGAUGUGAUUGAAGGUGUUUGGAUGGUUUGACCAGUGUUGGCUAAGGGGAUGAGAAGAGGCCGCAGUGACACAAAGCUGUUGCCGAUAAUAACUGGAGCCUUUUUCUGAGCCAACCGUUCCACCUGGACCUCAGUACAAAUUAUUGUUUUCAAUUACCACCUGUGUAUUCCUUCCCAUGCAACUUAUUGAUGUAAAAUUACAGCUACACCGGUAUAAAUAAGUUAUGCUGCAGUUGUAAAAUGGAAGAAAUUUUGUUGUAGCAAUUAUGUUCAGCAAGAUGACAAAAUAAAUUUCCAGAGCUGUGCCUGCAGUAACCUGGGGAAUUUAAACCUCAUAAUUUCCAUUCAUUUCAGAUAAUUUGGAGUAAUUUCUAUAUGUAAUAACUUUGUAAUGAAAAACACAGCGGUACUGAAGUGAUUUCGCUCCGUUUUUUUCUCCUAUGGUAUACAUGGCACAAAAUAAAUGAUAAAAAUAAUAUUUCCUUUUUAUAUGUGUGUGUGUUGAGUAAUUCCUUCAGUAAAAAUCAUAAACUAAUACCCAGACUAAAUCUCUGUCCACAAAAUGAAAAAUAAAUUGAGUUAAAGAAAGUGAAAAAGUAUGAAGGGCUUUGGAUGCUUUAUUGUGACUUUAUUGAAUUGUUUUGUUCCCAUGCUCCCUCUGAUCCC
rnacentral:lncRNA from 1 species